rnacentral:rRNA from 1 species
GAACGCUGUUCGCAGGCUUAAGAAAGCAAGUCGAACGCUCGUAGCAAUACGGGAGUGGCAGAUUGUCCAGUAACGCGUGGGAACAUACCCUCCGGUUCGGAAUAGCUCAGGGAAACUUGGAUUAAUACCGGAUACGGCUGAGAGGCGAAAGAUUUAUCGCCGGAGGAUUGGCCCGCGUUCGAUUAGCUUGUUGGUGAGGUAACGGCUCACCAAGGCGAUGAUCGGUAGCUGGUCUGAGAGGAUGAUCAGCCACAUUGGGACUGAGACACGGCCCAAACUCCUACGGGAGGCAGCAGUGGG